UGCUGAGGGGAGAGAAGCCUCACCUUGGGCUGUGCACUAGCCUGACAGCAUCAACCAGUUUCAAGGAGAAAAUCUGCAGCGGGAGUCUCACUAAGGAAGCUACACACUGGGGUACAGUCCGUGAGGGCAACUCUCCCUGGACCCUGGAUCACGCCGUGCUUGCUUCUUCUAGUGAAUCUAAUGAAAACCAGGAGUAUCAUCAGCUGGGCUCCCGCGUCCACUAGAGGCAGAGGCCCUGGUCCUCCUCUUCCUAGUCACCGUUGGAUCUCUAAUCCUUGUUCGGCAUUGAUGUUGGCCCCCUCUGCAGCCCCCAUGUGUGGUGCUAGCAGAAGAGAUACAACCCUGUGUCAGCUGUGAGCUCCAGAUGCCCCAGAUCACACUCACAGCGAGGUGCUGGGGAGCAGAGCCCCAAUUCAGAAAUGCUGGGAGUCCG
rnacentral:lncRNA from 1 species